AACUGCAACUCUAUGUAAAGGAUAAUGCCCGAGCCCCGAGGCCUUCUUAAAAAUAAUGACCGAGCGCGAAGCACGAGGUCAUUAUUUUUAAGAAAGCCGAGGGGCGAGGGCAUUAUCCGUUUUAAUGCACCUUUUCAUUGUUUUCGAACAAACAAGCUAACGAACUGCUGUAAAGUAUUUUCUCACUAGUUCCC